UACGGAGGGUGCAAGCGUUAUCCGGAUUCACUGGGUUUAAAGGGUGCGUAGGUGGGCAGGUAAGUCAGUGGUGAAAUCUCCGGGCUUAACCCGGAAACUGCCGUUGAUACUAUUUGUCUUGAAUAUUGUGGAGGUAAGCGGAAUAUGUCAUGUAGCGGUGAAAUGCUUAGAUAUGACAUAGAACACCAAUUGCGAAGGCAGCUUACUACACAAUGAUUGACACUGAGGCACGAAAGCGUGGGGAGCAAACAGG
rnacentral:rRNA from 1 species